rnacentral:rRNA from 1 species
CCAAUAGCGUAUAUUAAAGUUGUUGCAGUUAAAAAGCUCGUAGUUGAAUUUCGGAAUCAGUACGCUGGUCAUGCCUUUGGUAUGCACUGGUGUCACUGGUUUCUCCCUUCUGACGAACCGUCAUGCCAUUUACUUGGUGUGGCGGGAAAUCAGGACUGUUACUUUGAAAAAAUUAGAGUUGUUAAAGCAGGCCCCCGCUUGAACACAUUAGCAUGGAAUAAUGAAAUAGGACGUUGAUCUUAUUUUGUUGGUUUCUAGGAUUGACGUAAUGAUUAAUAGGGAUAGUUGGGGGCAUUAGUAUUCAAUUGUCAGAGGUGAAAUUCUUGGAUUUAUUGAAGACUAACUACUGCGAAAGCAUUUGCCAAGGAUGUUUUCAUUAAUCAAGAACGAAAGUUAGGGGAUCGAAGACGAUCAGAUACCGUCGUAGUCUUAACCAUAAACUAUGCCGACUAGGGAUCGGAUGAUGUUAUUUUUAAUGACUCAUUCGGCGCCUUACG